rnacentral:lncRNA from 1 species
AGAUUUUGGAAGGUCCACCCUUAGAAUUGAAGCACACUGAGAGAUAUAUAGCACUUCCAAGAACUCCAACCUAUCGAGGCCUCGAAUUUCAACUAAGUUUUCGCAAUUUUCAACAAAUAAUUUCUUCAUGCCCUCAGACUUCGGAAGGUCCAGCCUUUCAAUUGAAGUACACCCAAAGAUAUUCAACACUUCUAAGAACUCCAACCUAUCGAGGCCUCGAAUUUCAACUAAGUUUUCGCAAUUUUCGACAAAUAAUUUCUUCAUGCCCUUAGACUUCGGAAGGUCCAGCCUUUCCAUUGAAGUACACCCAGAGAUAUUCAACACUUCUAAGAACUCCAACCUAUCGAGGCCUCGAAUUUCAACUAAGUUUUCCCAAUUUUCAAC